rnacentral:rRNA from 1 species
CUCCUACGGGAGGCAGCAGUGAGGAAUAUUGGUCAAUGGGCGAGAGUCUGAACCAGCCAAGUAGCGUGAAGGAUGACUGCCCUAUGGGUUGUAAACUUCUUUUAUAAAGGAAUAAAGUCGGGUAUGCAUACCCGUUUGCAUGUACUUUAUGAAUAAGGAUCGGCUAACUCCGUGCCAGCAGCCGCGGUAAUACGGAGGAUCCGAGCGUUAUCCGGAUUUAUUGGGUUUAAAGGGAGCGUAGAUGGAUGUUUAAGUCAGUUGUGAAAGUUUGCGGCUCAACCGUAAAAUUGCAGUUGAUACUGGAUAUCUUGAGUGCAGUUGAGGCAGGCGGAAUUCGUGGUGUAGCGGUGAAAUGCUUAGAUAUCACGAAGAACUCCGAUUGCGAAGGCAGCCUGCUAAGCUGCAACUGACAUUGAGGCUCGAAAGUGUGGGUAUCAAACAGGAUUAGAUACCCUGGUAGUCCACACGGUAAACGAUGAAUACUCGCUGUUUGCGAUAUACGGCAAGCGGCCAAGCGAAAGCGUUAAGUAUUCCACCUGGGGAGUACGCCGGCAACGGUGAAACUCAAAGGAAUUGACGGGGGCCCGCACAAGCGGAGGAACAUGUGGUUUAAUUCGAUGAUACGCGAGGAACCUUACCCGGGCUUAAAUUGCAGAUGAAUUACGGUGAAAGCCGUAAGCCGCAAGGCAUCUGUGAAGGUGCUGCAUGGUUGUCGUCAGCUCGUGCCGUGAGGUGUCGGCUUAAGUGCCAUAACGAGCGCAACCCUUGUUGUCAGUUACUAACAGGUUCUGCUGAGGACUCUGACAAGACUGCCAUCGUAAGGUGUGAGGAAGGUGGGGAUGACGUCAAAUCAGCACGGCCCUUACGUCCGGGGCUACACACGUGUUACAAUGGCAGGUACAGAGAGAUGGUCCCUUGCAAAAUGGAUCAAAUCCUUAAAGCCUGUCUCAGUUCGGACUGGGGUCUGCAACCCGACCCCACGAAGCUGGAUUCGCUAGUAAUCGCGCAUCAGCCAUGGCGCGGUGAAUACGUUCCCGGGCCUUGUACACACCGC